rnacentral:lncRNA from 10 species
UUUUAGCCGGGAUGGUCUCGAUCUCCUGACCUCGUGAUCCGCCCGCCUCGGCCUCCCAAAGUGCUGGGAUUACAGGCGUGAGCCACCGCGCCCGGCCUACCUGCAUGAUUUCUAUUCCUCUCAUUUUGUUGUUCUUUUUAUAAAACACCUUUGCUAAAUAAUAAAGUUAUUACUCUAAGGUAGUGUCCAGGUCUCUUUGAUAAUAAUGAAACGUCUAUGGCCAAAUCCCAUUGCUUUGUUUUGACAGUGUGCUCCAAGAAAAUUACUUUGAUAUGCCCUCUCAUAUUAGAAUAAAUACAUUAUACAUGCCUAUUGCCUACAUCAAGUUUUGAAUUGUACCACUUUCAGGUUUAACCUGGCCAUACAGCAGAUUUUCUUAAUGGUUGGUGAACACGGAAUAAUAUUUUAUUCAGAUAAACUAUUUUGCAGAAACAUUUAAAGUCAGAUAUUGCAGAACUACUGAGUAUCUGAACUUUAAAGGGACACUCUUAACCAUAUUUUGUUUUAUUUAGUACUCACACUGACAAGUUGAUUUACCACCUCAUUUUCCCAACAAGUGUCAAGAUUUCAAUAUGCAGUUAGUGGUUUCUAAAAACGUUGACUAUUUAAUUACAUCCUUAUAGUUUCCCAAAAUUGCUUAUAGUUUGUCCUCAUUUAGUUAGGUCUAUAAUAUUUCUGAAUUAGUGUAAAAAUUUCUAUGCCUUUUUAAUUAUCGAUGCAUAUAAUGAUGUAUAAAAAUUAUUAUGUAGAUAGCUCCUCCAAGAAAACUUAAAAUCAAGAGCUUUUAGCAUCAAAGUAUCAGAAUACAAACUAAAGAAAACACACCAAUUUGGAAAGAUUUUCUUUAAAUACAUUAAAGUGAAUAAAAUGUUCACAGAGAAUAACUCACAUCUAAGGAUACAGACGUUUUCUUAAAGUGAAACUAUUUUUGGCUCACUCAGACUCUGGGUAGUGUUUCACUGAUUUUGAAUUUCACUGGUCAGAACCAGUGUUGGUAGUAAGAAUUACUGUCCCAGAAGAGAAUGGAAAUGCUUGCCAACUCUACUUUCAACCCUUGUUGGAAUCCCUAUGUUGUGGGUAGAGAUAUGACUAAAUUAAGCAGUUUUAAGUCUAAGCCAGAAAGAUUUAAUUAUUGAUUUAUUGGUUUUACAAUUGUUAAAUAUUGCCUUUAACCAAGUAUAUGUUUUAUCAUGUAAUAAUCACUUUGGCAACCUCAAAUGUCAUGGGUUCACAGGGUAAAUGUUAAGGUAAUAGCUAAACAAUUGAGAGUAAGGAGAUCUAAAGUAAGUGAAAAAAAUUCAAGAUGUAAUACAGAGUCCAAUAUGACAGACUUGAGAAACUUUCAAAAACUAGGAAAAGAAAACCAAAAGUCAUUCUUGCCGUGUCUCUGAUUGCACUGACUUGAUGCAGAAUUGGUGCAUUAACAUAUGUAUACAUUACAUACGUAUACAUGUGCCAUGCUGGUGUGCUGCACCCAUUAACUCGACAUUUAGCAUUAGGCAUAUCUCCUAAUGUUAUCCCUCCCCCCCGUCUCCCCACCCCACAACAGUCCCCAGAGUGUGAUGUUCCCCUUCCUGUGUCCGUGUGUUCUCAUUGUUUAAUUCCCACCUAUGAGUGAGAACAUGCGGUGUUUGGUUUUUUGUCCUUGGGAUAGUUGACUGAGAAUGAUGAAUUAAAAUAAAAAUGCAUGCACUUUCAAAUGUACUUAGUGCAACAUAUUGAACUUAAAUUCCAGUUUUCCUGGAAUUACCUGUGUCUUGAGCUAAAGGCUGUAUUUGAUAUAACAGGGAAGGAAAGAAAUUAUUUUUCCUAUAAAAUUAGUUUAAAAACACAUAUAAUUAAACAAAAUAAAAAUAUUAUUCCAUCUUUUAAAGAACAUUUACUAAUUCACAGAUAUUACCCGAAGUUUAGAAAGUCACCUAAGAACAAUUGUUUAAAAAUUAUUUAGGGAAAAUGAAGCAAAAUUGUUUUCAAUCUGAGAUUUUAACAGCCAGUGCACUCCUGUUCCUCAGCUGAAAGUCCCCUUCAUUCUGAAUGUCUGCAGUAGUAUUGAAUUGGGGAGCAGUUAGGUUCCAGGGACAUAUUCACUCCUGUUUUGUUCUCCCAUCAAUCUCAGCCUUUCGGUGACUGUUUGGGCAAAGCCUCCCUUGUGGUAGAAGAUGCCUCACUUCUGGGGAGAAGAGGCUCCUCAUCUUGCAGACAAGAAGCAGCACCCACUGGUUCUUGCUCCAAAAGCCAUUAACAUUAUAAACUGGCCAGUUGCGGUGGCUCAAACUUGUAAUCCCAGCACCUUUUGGGAGGUUGAGGCAGAAGGAUUGCUUGAGCCCAGGAGUUUGAGUACAGCCUUGGCAACAAAGUGAGACCCAAUCUCUACAAAAACUAGAGAAAAAAUAGCUGGGUGUGGUGGCACUCACCUGUACUAAGGAGGCUGGACUGGGAGGAUCUCUUGAGCCCAGGUGGUUGAGCCUGCAGUGAGCCAAGAUCACGCCUCUGCACUUGAGCUUGGGUGACAGAGUAAGACCCUAUCUCAAAAAAUAAAUUAUAAACUGAUUCACAAUAACUUUGGUUUUGUCACUAAUACGCUGAAUAUUUUUGUUACAACUAAUAUGCAAAAUACAAACUGGCUAUCACUACCAUUCUGAUAAUGGAAUUAGCUCUCCUGCAUACCUGAUGACCUAAUGCUUAACCUAAUCUUCCUCUUUCACACUUUGAUUUGGAAACUUGUUACAAUAGAGUUCUUUACCUCAAAGUCUUAAGGAAUUCAAGACAAGACUAGAGUAUGUUAAGAUACCACAAAAAAAUGUACAUAGCAAGAGAUUUCUUGAGUAAGCAAAUUUUAUACAUAUAAAAAUAAUUUACAUGCAAAUGACUAAGAGGAAAUGUUAAGUGACUCUGGUGUAAAUAAUUAGUUUUCUGAUUCUGCCAGAGCAUAUUAAGAAAAAUUCACUUUGGCAAAAUUAUAUGGAUUUAAAGAAGUAACAAGUGGGUUUCUCUAAAGUACAGUUUGGCUUUUUACUAGAAUAUCAAGUCACUUUUUUGGGUGAGGAGAGUACAAUGGGUAUGGGCAGCUGGUGAAAAUAAACAAUUAAAAUUACUUAAAACUUCAACAAAUGGGAUCUGUAUUUAAACCUGUUUUGGUCUAUCUUCCCUUUGUUUUUUCUAAUCCCAACAAUGCAAACCUCAGCCACUGUCAAGGGCAAUCUCAGACUGGAGGUUGCUGCCUAGGGUGAGGUUCUAGGAAGACUUACAAGCAGAGCUUGGGGAAAUGUCUGCAUGGGAAAACAGAGCCAGACUUAGAAGGCAAUGCUGAUGAAUCCCAUUUUCUUACUACAGAAGAGCUAGCAAAAACUGCAAUAUGAUGUGUAAAGUCAGUGUAAUCUUAUGGACAUUAUACCAAGUCACAACAUGAGGCAUGAGAUACCUCAGAUGUUGUUCCCUCUAAAUCUCAUGUUGAAUUGUGAUAUCCCCAAUGUUGGUGGUAGGUCUGGAGGGAGGUGAUUGGAUCAUGGGGGUGGAUUUCUCAGAAAUGGUCUAGCGUCCUGUCCCUGGUGCUGUCCUUGUGAUAGUGAGUGAAUUCUUUCAAGAUCUAUUUGUUUAAAAGUGUGUGGUGCUUUCCCUGCCUUGCCAGGUGUUGUGCCUGCCUGCUCCUUCUUCAACUUCUGCCAUGAAUAAAAGCCUCCUGAGGCCUCACCAGAAGCUAGGCAGAUGCCAGAACCAUGCUUGUACAGACUGCAGCUAUAAAAACCUCUUUUCAAACCUAUUUUCUUUAUAAAUUACCCAGUCUCAGGCAUUUCUUUAUAGCAAUGUAAGAAUGGCCUAAUACAGAAAAUUGGUACUGAGACAUGGGGCAUUGCUAUAAAGAUACUUGAAAAUGUGGAAGUGACUUUGGAACUGAGUAAUGGGCAGGAGUUGGAAGAGUUUGGAGGGCUCAGAAUACAGGAAGAUGAAGGAAAGUUCUGAAUUUCUUAGAGACUAGUUAAAUGGUUGUGACCAAAAUGCUGAUAGUGGUAUGGACAGUGAAGGAUAGGGUGAUGCAGUCUCAGAUGGAAUUGAGGAACUUACUGGGACUUGGAAUAAAGGUCAUGCCUGUUAUGCCUUUGCAAAGAACUUGGCUACAGUCUUUUCAUGUACUAGGGAUCUGAGGAAGUUUGAACACUCAGACGCAGGAGCAAAAAAAUGACUUAAAGUUGGAAUUUACAAUUAAAUGGGAAGCAGACCAUACAAGUAUAGAAAAUUUGCAGCCUGCCCAUUUGGCAAAGGAAGAUAAAGCAUUUUCAGGGGAAGAAUCUAAACAGGCUGCGGAGCAACCACUUAUUAGAGACAUUUGCAUAACUGAAAAAGCUAGGUGCUGAUAGCCAAGAAAAUUAAAAAAAGGCCUUGAAGGCAUUUCAGAAAUCUUUGCAGCAGCUCAUCCCACCACAGACCUAGAGGUCUAGGAUAAAAGAAUGGUUUCUUUUGUAGUGGGAUUUUAAAAAUUAAUUUACUUAUUAAUUUAUUUAUUUAUUUUGAGAUGGAGUCUCACUCUGUCACCCAGGCUGGAGUGCAGUGGCACAAUCUCAGCUCACUGCAAGCUCUGCCUCCUGGGUAAUUUAUUUAUUUAUUUUGAGAUGGAGUCUCACUCUGUCACCCAGGCUGGAGUGCAGUGGCACAAUCUCAGCUCACUGCAAGCUCUGCCUCCUGGGUACAUGCCAUUCUCCUGCCUCAGCCUCCCAAGUAGUUGGGACUACAGCUGACUGCCACCAUGCCUGGCUAAUUUUUUGGAUUUUUAGUAGAGAUGGGUUUUCACUGUCUUACCCAUGAUGGUCUCAAUCUCCUGACCUCGUGAUCUGCCCGCCUUGGCCUCCCAAAGUGCUGGGGUUACAGGAGUGAGCCACCAUGCCCAGGCUGUAGCGGGAUUUUUUAAGGAAUCAGAGACACCAAUAGGGUUGAGGAAGAUAUUUAUUAUUUAGGUGCACCGGCCCAGUCAGAUUAACAUCCAAAGGACUGAGUCCUGAACAAAGAUUCAAGUUACCUUUUAAGCGUUUUGUGGGGUGGUGGGGAGUGGGGGAGAUCUGUGCACGGGGAAGCAUAUUACAGAAGCGAGAAACAAAGACAGUUAUUCAAUUAAUUGAGACAUGCAUUAUAUUAUUUCUUACUUUUCAAGGAAAAACAUGUUUUACGACUUGAGUUUCUCUGUCUAGUGAACUUGCAGCUGCACAGCUAGAGAAACAGGUUCUUCACAAUGCCUGGGAAAGGAGGAGAGAUGAGGCUCACUAGCCACAGCAAAACAGGCAGUUAAUUUUUAAAGGACUCCAGCUCUUUCUGUUUCUCAGGGGGAAUUGGGUUUUCUCACAUACAGCUGAGUUUCUGCUUACACAUUUUUUAAUUUCUUUUAAUUCCUGUUCCACUUGGUCCAGGGCCAGGGCAUCACUGCCCUGUACCACCUCCAGGAGGGAGUUCCUUGCAUCCUGGCCCUUCUAGCUCCAGGCUUGGUUCAAAGGGCUGCAGAUAGAGCUCAGGCCAUUGCUUCAGAGGGUGCAAACUAUAAGCCUUGGUGGCUUCCAUGUGGUGUUAAGCCUGCAGGUGAUCAAAGUGCAAGAGUGAAGGAAGCUUGGCAUUCUCUGCCUAAAUUUCAGAGGAUGUAUGAGAAAGGCUGGAUGCCCAGAGAGAAGCCUAUGCACAGCUGGAGCCCUCAAAGAGGACCUCUUCUAGGACAGUGCCAAGUGGUAAUGUGGGAUUGGAGGCCCCACACUGUGGGGGCUGCCUAGUGGAGCUGUGGGAGGGGGGGCUGCUGACCUCCAGAUCAAAGAAUGAUAGAGCCACCAGCAGCUCCUGUCUUCAGUGUAGAAAAGCUGUGGGAGCAGAGCUGCCCAAAGCCUUGGGAGCCCACCCUAUGCAUCCUGGUAAUGCUCUAUGUUCCCAGGAUGUGGGACAUGGUUUCAAAGGAGAUUAUUUUGGAACAUCGAGAUUUAAUGACUGCCCUGCUGGGAUUUGAACUUGUGUGGGGCCUGUAGUCCCUUUCUUUUGGCCAAUUUAUCUCAUUUGUAAUGGGAAAGUUUACCCAAUGCCUGUAUCCCAGUUUUAUCUUAGAAGUCAAUAACUGGUUUUGAUUUUACAGGCUCAUUGGUGGAAGGGACUUGCCUUGUCUCAGAAGAAACUGCACUUUCGAGUGAUGCCAAAACAGUUUGAGACUUUUGGGGGACUAUUGAGAAGGGAUGAUUGUAUUUUGCAAUGUGAGAAGAACAUGAGAUUUGAAGGGCCAGGGAUGGAAUGAAAUAGUUUGGAUGUUAUACCCUUUAAGUCUCAUGUUGAAUUGUAAUUCCCACUGUUGGAGGUGGGGUCUGUUGGGAGGUGAUGGGGUCAUAAGGGCUGAUUUCUCAUGUUUAGCACCAUCCUCUUGGCACUGUCCUUGCAAGAGUGAGUGAGUUCUCAUGAUAUCUGGCUGUUUAAAAGUGUGUGGCACCUCUCCCUGCUUGCUCCUGCUCUGGCCAUGUGACAUACCUUCUUUUGCUUCACCUUCUGCCAUGUGUAAAAGCUCCCUGAGGACCCUUCUUGAAGCCAAGCAACUGCCAAUGCAAAGCUUCCUGUACAGCCUGCAGAAUUGGGAGCCAAGUCAACCUUUUUUUUCGGACUGUAGUGGGAAGAGAGUUCCUAAAGCAGAGGUUUCUCAAGGAUGGUGAGACUUGCAGCCAAGAACAACUUUGCAACCUGGAACUGGUCUGUGUGUGUCAUUGCUGGGUGUCCCAGCCUACUCCCUUGGUCAGUUGACAGAGUACUCCAUCAGCUCCAAGAAACAGGAGGGAGGUGAACCCCAUUCCCCAGGAGACCUAAACUUUGGUGGGGACCAGCCCUAAGGGAAGGAGGAAUACAGCUUGCCAAACCCACCCCUUGGAUAAAAGGAAACACGAUCAUGACAUCAGCUGCUGAAAGGGGCACACCAAAGCCUGGGAACAGAUUUAGAGAGGUAGUCAUCUCUUGCCCUCUGUCCCCUUCCUAGUGCACUGCUGCAGACCCAGCAGUGGUCAUCCUGUUGGGGCCCAAGGAACGUGGGCUGAAAGAGGCUGCUUCUUAGGUUUCUCCAGCAGCUCUGCCCCUGCUGAAGACUAGUACACACUGGGACAGGGCGCUUUUGGCACUUUGUCACUUCUGUACCUGUCGAGGACAAGUACACAGAGGAGAAGACCCUGCAGCCAGCUGUCACUCUUAAGCACUGUUUACUGGACUGAAGCCUUGAUUACACCACCAAACAAAAAUACAUCACCACACCACGCCACCACAGGAGCCUAUCUGCAACCAAGGAACUUGUACAGAGCCUUGGUCCUCUGAAAGUACCCAGAAAUGAAGCAAAUUGAUCCUAUACAACACACACCACAGUCAUACCCUUAAGAAAAAGAAAGAAUGAAAAAUUAAAAAAAAAACUCCUUCCAAAUGAUAGCAAGUUCAGCAAAAGUAGCAUCAAGUCUCUCAGAUGAGAAGAAACCAGCACAAGAACUCUGGCAAUACAAAAAGCCAGAAUGUUCCAUCACCUCCAAAGGAUUACACCAGCAAUCUAACAAAGAGUCCUAACCAGAAUGAAACAUCUGAAAUGACAGGUAUAGUAUUCAAGAUAUAAGUGGCAAAAAGAAAAAUCACCAAAAUCCAACAGAAAGUUGAAAUCCAACAACAAACCCAUAACAACGAUCCUGGAUUUGAAUGACAACAUAGCCAUAUUAAGAAAGAACCAAGCAGAGCUUCUUGCAUUGAGAAAUUUACUAUAGGAAUUUCAAAAAACAGCUGGCAGCCUUAGCAACAGACUAGACCAAAUAGAAGAAAUAAUUUAAGAGCUCAAAUACCAGACCUUUGAAUCAACCGAGUCAGACAAAAAUAAAAAAAGAAUUUAAAAAUAAUGAACCAAACUUUUGAGAAAUGUAAGAUUAUGUAAAGGAACAAAAUCUAUGACUUAUUGGCAUUUUUUUUUUGAGACAGAAUCUCACUCUGUUACCCAGUCUGUAGUGCAGCUGCAUGAUCUUGGCUCACUGAAACCUCCACCUCCUUGAUUCAAGUAAUUCUCAUGCCUCAGCCUCCCAAGUAUCUGAGAUUACAGGCGUGUGCCAGCAUGCCUCAGUAAUUUUUGUAUUUUUAGUAGAGAUGGGGUUUCACCAUGCUGGCCAGGUUGGUCUCAAAUUUCUGGCCUCGGGUGAUCCUCCCACCUUGGCCUCCCAAAGUGCUGGGAUUACUGGCAUGAGCCACUGUGCGUGGCUGACUUAUUGGCAUUUCUAACAGAGAAGAAGAGAAAGUAAUCAACUUGGAAAACGUUUUUGAGAACAUAAUUCAGGAAACUGUCCUCAAUCUUGCUAAAGAGGUCGACAUGCUGAUACAAGAAAUCCAGAGAACUCCCGUGAGACUGAAGGUAGACAGUGAAGCAAAUGCUUGCUUUCUUGUGUGGCUCUGAUUAGCAUCAGGAUAUCUACAUUUUACAUAGGAAAGGAGGGAGCAGAGGAAACAGUUAUGCAUUCAUCUCGCAUUCAGUAAAUCUCCAUUUUACGUAAGAUAAAGUAAGCAUGUAAAUAGAGGGAGUGGAGUAAAGGAAUACUCAAUGAUUCAUUCAUCUCAGGAUAGGCAGAGGGAUGAUUUCUCGUCCUGACCUUGUCCCAGAACUAUGAAAAUAAGCUGGUAAUUGAGAUUCUCAGGGUGAAAUUGAGCCGACUCACUUUUAGGGAUAGUUUACAGGUGGGAUGUGCAUUCUGAAAAAUUUAGGGGCUCACAGCAAACUGUGAGGGAGGACAUCUGAAGAGACAUGCGGCCUUCUGUCACUGUGGGAACCUCGCUUAUGGAUGAGGCUAUGACACAGGGUUGUGAAGUUAUAACUAUGUGUUUGAGAACAAGGAAAGCAGUAUUGCAUAACUCAGUUCCCAAGCUUAAUUUUCCCUUUGACACAGUUAGCUUGGGGUUGGGGUCUCUAUUCUCUUUUCUCUCACAAAAUCAUAUGGGAACAUUCCAGAAAAUGUGAGGUUCUGUGCUCACUAUUAAAUAAAAAUGACCAGGAGAGCCAUGGGUAAGCUCCCUCCUCAGUCAUCAGGACCCCAACAGAGAGUUUUCCCCUGUGUGGACAGGGUCCUGAAUUCUACAGGAUCCCGUGGGGACACAAGUGUCAGGAUAGAGACAUUCAUUCAGCCAGGCACAGUGUCUCACACCUGUAAUGUCAGCUACACUGGAGGCUGAGGUCGCCUUGAGGCCAGGAUUUCAAGACCAGCCUGGACAAGAUAGCAAGAUCCCAUAUCUAAGAAUAAAAUUAGCCGGGUGUGGUGGCAUGCACCUGUAAUCCUAGUUACUUGGGAGGGAGGCUGAGGUGGGAGGAUUGCUUGAGCCUAGGCGUUGGAGGCUACAACGAGCUAGGAUUACACCACUGCACUCCAGUCUCGGCAACAGUAAGAUUUCGUAUGUAACAACAACCAAACUAUUCUGUGUUUUGAGUGUAAAUUACCAUAGCCAUUGUAACAGAAAUUAGGCAGCAACUCUUAACAUUCAAAAUGCAUAAGCAAUUUGGCUAAGCAAUUGUACUUGUAGAUUAUUUAUUUAUUUAUUUAUUAUUGGGACAGAGUCUCACUCCGUCCCCCAGACUGGAGUGCAGUGACAUGAUCUCAGCUCACUGCAACCACUGCCUCGUGGGUUCAGGCAAUUGUCCUACCUCAGCCUCCCGAGUAGCUGGGGCUACAAGUGCGCAUCACCAUACCCAGCUAAUUUUUGUAUUUUUUGUAGAAAUGGGUUUUUGCCAUGUUGGCCAGGAUGGUCUCAAACUUCUGACCUCAGGUGAUCCACCCACCUCGACCUCCCAAAGAGCUGGGAUUACAGGCACUAGGUCCCUAAUUUAGAGCCAUAUUCUUUAAUGUCUAAAAGCACUCUUGCAUAUUUAUUACUGCAUUGUUUGAACUUAAAUAUCCACAACAGGAUAACAGGAUAAUUAAACAAUUUAUUGCACUAUGGCACAUCCAUCUGUUAACAAAAUGAAAUCGAUCUUUCUGUACUGCGGUGGAAUGAUUUUCUGAACAUAGUUCAGGUAAAAAAAAGACCACUGUUGAAUAAUGCUUCUGGUAUAACACAAUGUGUUUGAAAAUGUACACAAUACUCUGUAAUAUCCAAUGCAUACAUCUAUCAAAGUAAAUAUAUUUUAUUCUAGGGUAAUUAUUAAAACAUUAAGAAAUACUCUUUAAUCAUAUAUGUUAAAACUUGUAGAAAAUCAAUAACAUACAAGUAAAGAAGUUCAAGAAGCCAAAAAAAGUAAUUCCGAGUGUAGAAAGCAUGGUGAGAAGUGAUGGAACAAAACUGCAGAAAUUUAAAAUGCAAAAUUAAAAUACAUAAUUCUUAAUUAAAAUACAUAAUUCUUCAUUGAACCCCGAAUCUGUCAGGAUGUAUGUGUGAUCUUGGACAACACAUUCAACCUCCUCACACUGAAUUUUCUUGAGUGUAAACUGUUUUAGAGAUGUUCCUCACCCGGUUGCAUGAAGCAUAUCUGUGUGUGUUAAGGCACUUCCCACAGCAUCUGCGA